AGCAGCCGCGGUAAUUCCAGCUCCAAUAGCGUAUAUUAAAGUUGUUGCAGUUAAAAAGCUCGUAGUUGAAUUUCGGGGUUCUACCGUUGGUCGGGCUUUGUCUGUACUGGCGUGUAGAAUUUCUACCUUCUGGGGAACCAUUAUGUUAUUAAUUUAGCGUGGUGGGAAACCAGGACCUUUACCUUGAAAAAAUUAGAGUGUUCAAAGCAGGCUUAUGUCUGAAUACAUUAGCAUGGAAUAAUAGAAUAGGACGGUGGUCCUGUUUUGUUGGUUUCUGAAUCACCGUAAUGAUUAAUAGGGAUAGUUGGGGGCAUUAGUAUUCAAUUGUCAGAGGUGAAAUUCUUGGAUUUAUUGAAGACUAACUUCUGCGAAAGCAUUUGCCAAGGAUGUUUUCAUUAAUCAAGAACGAAAGUUAGGGGAUCGAAGACGAUCAGAUACCGUCGUAGUCUUAACCAUAAACUAUGCCGACUAGGGAUCGGACGAUGUUAACUUUUCUUGACUC
rnacentral:rRNA from 1 species